AGAGUUUGAUUAUGGCUCAGGAUGAACGCUGGCGGCAUGCCUAAGACAUGCAAGUCGUACGAAGCGGCCCACUGAAAUUUUGUACUUGUACAGAAUCGAUUUGGAUUCCCGCUUAGUGGCGCAAGGGUGAGUAACACGUGGGUUAUCUGCCUCAGAGACUGGGAUAACAAUUGGAAACGAUUGCUAAUACCGGAUGAUAUAUAAGACGAUACGUUGUCUUAUAUUAAAAGGAGCCUUUAAAGCUUCACUUUGAGAUGAGCCUGCGGCGUAUUAGUUGGUUGGUGGGGUAAUGGCCUACCAAGGCAACGAUGCGUAGCCGACCUGAGAGGGUGAUCGGCCACACUGGGACUGAGACACGGCCCAG
rnacentral:rRNA from 1 species